rnacentral:rRNA from 1 species
AGCGAACGCUGGCGGCGUGCUUAACACAUGCAAGUCGAACGCUCGUAGCAAUACGAGAGUGGCGGACGGGUGAGUAACGCGUGGGAAUCUACCUAGCGGCGGGGAAUAACCGCGGGAAACUGAGGCUAAUACCGCAUACGUCCUUCGGGAGAAGGGCUUCGGCCAACGCGUGAGGAGGCCGCGUCCGAUUAGCUAGUUGGGGAGGGAACGGCUAACCAAGGCGACGAUCGGUAGCUGGUCUGAUAGGAUGAUCAGCCACACUGGGACUGAGACACGGCCCAGAGUCCUGCGGGAGGCAGCAGUGGGGAAUAUUGGACAAUGGGGGAAACCCUGAUCCAGCGACGCCGCGUGGGUGAUGAAGGCCUUCGGGUUGUAAAGCCCUUUCGUCCACGAUGAUGAUGACAGUAGUGGAAGAAGAAGCUCCGGCUAACUUCGUGCCAGCCGCCGCCGUAA